rnacentral:tRNA from 1 species
GCGGAAGUGCUGGAAUUGGCAGACAGGCCAGACUAAGGAUCUGGUGGUCAUUGCGAUCGUGUGGGUUCAAGUCCCAUCUUCCGCACGA